CCUACGGGAGGCAGCAGUAAGGAAUAUUGGACAAUGCUCGCAAGAGUGAUCCAGCCAUGCCGCGUGCAGGAAGAAUGCCCUAUGGGUAGUAAACUGCUUUUGAACUAGAGAAAACCCCAGUACGUGUACUGGGCUGAUAGUAUAGUUAGAAUAAGCAUCGGCUAACUUCGUGCCAGCAGCCGCGGUAAGACGAAGGAUGCAAGCGUUAUCCGGAUUCAUUGGGUUUAAAGGGAGCGUAGGUGGACUGAUAAGUCAGUGGUGAAAUCUCCGAGCUUAACUCGGAAAUUGCCAUUGAUACUGUUGGUCUUGAGUACAGUUGCUGUGGGCGGAAUAUGACAUGUAGUGGUGAAAUACAUAGAGAUGUCAUAGAACACCGAUUGCGAAGGCAGCUCACAAAGCUGUAACUGACACUGAGGCUACGAAAGUGCGGGGAUACAAACAGGAUUAGAUACCCUGGUAGUCCGCACCGUAAACGAUGAUUACUCGCUGCUAGGGGGCAACCUUUAGUGGCUUAGCGAAAGCGAUAAGUAAUCCACCGUGGGAGUACGCCGCGAACGGUGAAACGUACGAAAAGAGUAGUAGAGGNGNGAGAGCGACGACGACGACGACGGAGGGAGGAG
rnacentral:rRNA from 1 species